AGCUCCAAUAGCGUAUAUUAAAGUUGUUGCAGUUAAAAAGCUCGUAGUUGGAUUUCUGCUUUGAGAUGACCUCGUGACAUUUGUUACGAUGGCAAUCUUGGGCAUUUUUCUGCACUUGCACUUCUGUGUGAGUUUGCAGAUACCUUUACUUUGAGAAAAUUAGAGUGUUUCAAGCAAGCGUUUGCUUUGAAUACUACAGCAUGGAAUAAUCUUAUAGGACUUCGGACCUAUUUGUUGGUUUCUAGGCCUGAAGUAAUGAUUAAUAGGGACAGUUGGGGGCAUUCGUAUUUGACAGUCAGAGGUGAAAUUCAUAGAUUUGUUAAAGACGAACUACUGCGAAAGCAUUUGCCAAGGAUGUUUUCA
rnacentral:rRNA from 1 species